GCAGACUUAUAUAGCAAGUCCUAGUAUCCAUUGAGCUAUGUCAUUGUCCUUCCAUCUUAAAUUGUAGAGACAUGGUCUCUCACUGACCAUGCAGCUCACCGAUCUCAUUGGGUCUCUCUCUCUCUCUCUCUCUCUCUCUCUCUCUCUCUCACACACACACACACACACACACACACACACACCAUGCAGCUAACUGAUCUCACUCAGCUAUUCUCGCUGGCCAGUGAGCUCCAGGGAUCCACCUCUCUCUGUCUCACCCUAUCAUUGGGUCACACACACACACUCACACACACACCCUCUGUUAUUGUUGUUACCAGUCUUUUGUGGAGGCAGAACAUCUCUAAAUUUGAGGCUAGCUCACUCUACAUAGAGUAGAGUUCUAGGGCAGCUAGGGCUACAUAUUGAGACCCAGUCUCAAAAAAACCUCAAAAGUUGAUUCAAGACUGCAGGGACUGGGUACUUGGAAGUGUACAUUUAGGUUGAAUUAGCUGCACCUGUGAUCUUAGGAUUUUGGGAGUCUGAGGCAGGAGAUUUCUUGAGUUUGAGUUCAACAUGGGCUCCAUUGUUAGUCCUGUCUCCAAAAAAAAAAAAAAAAGCCAUGAGAGGGCUGUGUGGUGACGCUCGGGCAUGGAGUACUUGCCUAGCAUGAAUAAGACCCAGGGGUCAGUUCCCAGCACCAAACUAAUAAGAAAUAUUGUUGAUAUUUAUGUUCUCUUUGAUUGCAUUCAUACUCAAAAACACCUAUGGCUUUUAGGUAAUGAAAUAAAAAUUUUAUGUAUAUGUAUAUACACAUAUCCCUGUUUGUUUGUUUGUUUGUUCGUUUAUUUAUCUAUUUGUUUUUUGGUUUUUUUGAGACAGUGUUUCUCUGAGUAACAGAGCCUGGCUGUCCUGGAGCCACCUUUAUAGGCCAGGCUGGCCUCUAACUGAGAGACUUGCCUCUACCUCUCAAGUGAUGAGAUUAAAGGCAAGUCCACCAAGCCUAGCUAUUGAUCAAUGUUUUAAAAAGCAUCUCAGAAUGUAGACAGGCUGGCCUUGAACAUACAGGGAUGCACCUAGUUCUACCUCCUGAGUGCUGGGAUCAAAGGCAUACAGCACCGUUCCUGGGUGGGGGUUAUUUUGGUUUUUUGUUUUUUAAUUUUAAAAAAAUUUUUGUUUGUUUAUUUUGAAACAGUCUCAUACUGUAGUCCAGGCUGACCUGGAACUUACUAUAGCAUAGGUUGGCCUCCAGAAUUGUAGCAGCAGUUGUCCGAUUUCAUUUUCUAAGUGCUGGGGUCACAAGCACACACCACUAUGGCAUUAAGUUCAUUUUACUCUAGAAUGCAUAACGUACCUGUGUUGCAGGACUUUGCCAAGAGGCCCACUCAAUCCCAUUCUUUAUUUCCUGCUAUGGACUUUAUUAAACAGAGUCAGAACUAUGAGUCUGUCUGACCCUUGUGCUGUUUCUUUCCUCUGCUGUUCUUGAAUAUCCAUCCAGGGGCAUCUGGUUGUCAGCCAGGAGCAAAGGAGAGUGUGCCAAGGGCUUGGGCCAGCCCAGCACCUAGGGACAGCUCAAAAUGCUUCCUGUCAGGGCUGCCUUAGAUUUUUCUAAGAACAUUAGUGUACACUAGGACAGCUCAGUGGGCCCAGCCCCUUGCCGAGACUUGCAUGCAGAUUGCUAGCCCUGGAGGCCAAGGGCUUGAAAUGUAACAGGUUUCACAUGAGGUCCAGAUUUCUACAGAGCCUGAAACUACCCUGAAGGUUUUAGUAAUAAUGAGGUAGAGGCCUGAGGCCCCAAGCAUGGGUCUACCAAAGCUGUGACUUUAGUCAAGGGCAUUGAUUGGGCAUUCUAGGCCCCAGGUUCCUGAGUGUGUGUCUGUGCACAAGUGUCUGAAUAUGAGUGUGUGGGGUCAGAGGGCAGCCUUAAUCAUGGUUCCUCAGGAGCCGUCGUCUUUGUGGGUUUGAGUCACUUGUAGUCUAGGCUGACUGGCCAGCGAGCCCCAGGGAUCUCUCUGCCUGGACCAUUACAGUGCUGUGAUGACAGGCGUGCAUAGUGAUGCCUGGCGUUUUACCUGAGCGCCAAUGAUUGAAUCUUGGCUGACAUUGAAAUGGCUAUAGAGCUGAGGCUAACCUAGAACUCUGGAUCUCCUACCUUUACCUUCUGAGUUCUGGCAUUGCAGGAGUGCACCACCAUGUUUGGGUUUAUGUAGUACUGGGGAUGGAACUGAGAACUUUGUGCAUGGUAGGUGAGGCAGCCAGACCCCAGGUUUCUCUGCUCUAAGACAGAGCUGUAUGUAAUCUGGGCAGAGUGGCAGUGGUAUAAUGUCUGCUCCCCCAGAAGUGAAAAAGUAAGACUGAGACCCUCACCCUGGGGUGAGCUGACUUCACGGGUAACUCACUGGAUCUUCUAACCAGGACUGCUUUUACCAUUUUAGAAGCGUUAGCAUUUGAAACCAGCAUCUGAGCCAGCCAGCUUUGUGAGCUAGCUAUGGCUCUCAGGAGGGCUUGGUUUCUACCUAAUCGUUGCUAUUUAAUUGAGGGACUGGCAAAGAGGCUAGCUGGGCUUUUUUCCCCUACCCCACCCCCAUUUGGACAGGAACCCAGGAAGUUGGGGUUCCAGCCUGGAAAGCGGAGGCUAGACUCCUUCCUGUGAAUGUAUUGCCUUUCUGAAUCGGAAUCUCAGAAGGAAGUGGGGUUACAGUUUGUUCCUUGAGUGUUUGACUGCCUUACAGCGUUACCUGGUGCAUGUCACUGAGGCCGAGUCCCACUUGUCUAUGACUUUCACGAAGGCUGGCAAGAUGGCUCAGUAGGGAAAGGGGUUUGCCACCAAGCCUGAUGACCUGGGUUGAUUUCUGAACUCCAAUGGUAGAAGCAGAGAAGCAAUUUCUGUGUGAUGUAUGCACACGGAGACACAAGCCCAAAGAGGAUACAUAAAUGAAAUGUUCGGG
rnacentral:lncRNA from 1 species